rnacentral:rRNA from 1 species
AGUCGGGGGAAUCCCAGCAAUGGGGGAACCGGCGUAAGGGGCAGUAAUGUGUGGGUACCUACCUUUGGGUUCGGGAUAGCCAUCAGAGAUGGUGGGUAAUACCGGAUGAUGUCGUGAGACCAAAGAUUUAUCGCCCGAAGAGGGGCCCACAUGAUAUUAGCUAGUUGGUAGGGUAACGGCCUACCAAGGCGAAGAUGUCUAGCGGGUGUGAGAGCACGACCCGCGCCACUCGCACUGAGACACUGGCGAGACACCUACGGGUGGCUGCAGUCGAGGAUCUUCGGCAAUGAGCGCAAGCUUGACCGAGCGACGCCGCGUGAGCGAUGAAGGCCUUCGGGUUGUAAAGCUCUUUAGUGGGGGAGAAAAGCCCGCAAGGGUGUGAUCUAUCCCAAAAAUAAGCACGGGCUAAGUUCGUGCCAGCAGCCGCGGUAAGACGAACCGUGCGAACGUUGUUCGGAAUCACUGGGCUUAAAGGGCGCGUAGGCGGGCUGUCAAGUCUGGGGUGAAAUGCCGCGGCUCAACCGUGGAACUGCCUUAAAUACUGAC